rnacentral:rRNA from 1 species
UACCCGCAGCACAAGGGGUGGUCAUUAUUAUUGGGCCUAAAGCGUCCGUAGCUUGCGUGUUAGAUGCCUGGGUAAAUCGAUGGGCUUAACCCAUCGAAUUCCGGGUAGACCGUCACGCUCGAGACCGGGAGAGGUGUAGGGUACUCGGGGGGUAGGGGUAAAAUCCUGUAAUCCUCCGGGGACGACCAGUGGCGAAGGCGCUACACUAGAACGGCUCUGACAGUGAGGGACGAAGCCCUGGGGCGCAAACCGG